GACGAACGCUGGCGGCGUGCCUAAUACAUGCAAGUUGAGCGCUGAAGGUUGGUACUUGUACCAACUGGAUGAGCAGCGAACGGGUGAGUAACGCGUGGGGAAUCUGCCUUUGAGCGGGGGACAACAUUUGGAAACGAAUGCUAAUACCGCAUAAAAACUUUAAACACAAGUUCUAAGUUUGAAAGAUGCAAUUGCAUCACUCAAAGAUGAUCCCGCGUUGUAUUAGCUAGUUGGUGAGGUAAAGGCUCACCAAGGCGAUGAUACAUAGCCGACCUGAGAGGGUGAUCGGCCACAUUGGGACUGAGACACGGCCCAAACUCCUACGGGAGGCAGCAGCAGGGAAUCUUCGGCAAUGGACGAAAGUCUGACCGAGCAACGCCGCGUGAGUGAAGAAGGUUUUCGGAUCGUAAAACUCUGUUGGUAGAGAAGAACGUUGGUGAGAGUGGAAAGCUCAUCAAGUGACGGUAACUACCCAGAAAGGGACGGCUAACUAC
rnacentral:rRNA from 1 species